rnacentral:lncRNA from 1 species
UUGACAGGGAUGAUUCUCGAUCUGCAGAGUGUCCCGUGACAAGUCUUGGACCAUCAUCACGAAUUAGAGCAGGAUAUUUUGUUCUUGCGUGCACCUUUUUUUGUGAGACGUGAGGUGCACCGAUACUGUUCAUUCUUCUUAUGUCCCCAUGAGCGUCACGUCGCCUACGCAUCUUUAUCCAGCUGUAACACUGCUUGACAGCGACGACGAGGAACAGGC